rnacentral:misc_RNA from 1 species
AACGUACAUGGCGCCUCAUUAGAGGCAUGCUUGUUUCAGUGUCCAACCACCUCACGCUCCAACUUGUUGGUUUGUGGUCGUUGAGUCUCACGGGGUCUGUUCAGCAGCUUCACAGCUGCUACUUGCACCCCGCGUGAUUCGAAGUUUGAAUUUGUCUGUUAAGACUCCCCGUGCGUAAACUAGAGAUGUUUGGCGCGGUGUGGUAGGUCUAUGUCUGCAAAGACUAAGAUAUCAACCCCCGUGAUCCUUAGCUCUGGAUUGUAUUCAACGUUACAGCGCAUGUGUCUUGGAGGACUAGAAAGCAGUCUAGAGCAGCAUAUAUCUAUAUAUCCUGCUUGAACUGGCGCGCCACACUAUUUCGGCGCCCAACCCCCCUUUUAAUUCAGACCUGAAAUCAAGUAAGAGGACCCGCUGAAUUUAA